rnacentral:rRNA from 1 species
GAUAGCUAAUACCGCAUAACAAUGUUGGAUGCAUAUUCGACAUUUGAAAGUACCAACUGGUACACUGAGAGAUGGACCCGCGUUGUAUUAGCUAGUUGGUAGUGUAAUGGACUACCAAGGCGAUGAUACAUAGCCGACCUGAGAGGGUGAUCGGCCACAUUGGGACUGAGACACGGCCCAAACUCCUACGGGAGGCAGCAGUAGGGAAUCUUCGGCAAUGGACGAAAGUCUGACCGAGCAACGCCGCGUGAGUGAAGAAGGUUUUCGGAUCGUAAAACUCUGUUGUUAGAGAAGAACGUUGCAUAGAGUGGAAAAUUAUGCAAGUGACGGUAUCUAACCAGAAAGGGACGGCUAACUACGUGCCAGCAGCCGCGGUAAUACGUAGGUCCCGAGCGUUGUCCGGAUUUAUUGGGCGUAAAGCGAGCGCAGGUGGUUUAAUAAGUCUGAUGUAAAAGGCAGUGGCUCAACCAUUGUGUGCAUUGGAAACUGUUAGACUUGAGUGCAGUAGAGGAGAGUGGAAUUCCAUGUGUAGCGGUGAAAUGCGUAGAUAUAUGGAGGAACACCGGUGGCGAAAGCGGCUCUCUGGACUGUCACUGACACUGAGGCUCGAAAGCGUGGGUAGCAAACAGGAUUAGAUACCCUGGGUAGUCCACGCCGUAAACGAUGAGUGCUAGUUGUUUGGGGCUAUCCAGCCCUAAGUGACGCAGCAAACGCAUUAAGCACUCCGCCUGGGGAGUACGACCGCAAGGUUGAAACUCAAAGGAAUUGACGGGGGCCCGCACAAGCGGUGGAGCAUGUGGUUUAAUUCGAAGCAACGCGAAGAACCUUACCAGGUCUUGACAUACUCGUGCUAUUCCUAGAGAUAGGAAGUUCCUUCGGGACACGGGAUACAGGUGGUGCAUGGUGUCGUCAG